ncrna:unclassified sequences Actino-pnp RNA
CAUGGUCUCCGGUAGUGGUUUUCAGAUAAUUAGAUUUAAUAAAUCUAUCUGAGAACUUCGAUCGUAGAUUCAUU